rnacentral:rRNA from 1 species
UACGGGGGGAGCAAGCGUUGUUCGGAUUUACUGGCGUAAAGGGCGCGUAGGCGGUCAGCACAAGUCAGUUGUGAAAUCUCCGGGCUUAACUCGGAAAGGUCAACUGAUACUGUGCGACUAGAGUGCGGAAGGGGCAACUGGAAUUCUCGGUGUAGCGGUGAAAUGCGUAGAUAUGCGGAGGAACACCGAUGGCGAAGGCAGUCCCCUGGGGCCUGUACUGACGCUGAGGCACGAAAGCGUGGGGAGCAAACAGG